UAGGGAAUCUUCCGCAAUGGACGAAAGUCUGACGGAGCAACGCCGCGUGAGCGAAGAAGGCCUUCGGGUCGUAAAGCUCUGUUGUUAGGGAAGAACAUGUACGAGAGUAACUGCUCGUACCUUGACGGUACCUAACCAGAAAGCCACGGCUAACUACGUG
rnacentral:rRNA from 1 species